GACGAACGCUGGCGGCGUGCUUAACACAUGCAAGUCGAACGGAAAGGCCCUGCUUUUGUGGGGUGCUCGAGUGGCGAACGGGUGAGUAACACGUGAGUAACCUGCCCUUGACUUUGGGAUAACUUCAGGAAACUGGGGCUAAUACCGGAUAGGAGCUCCUGCUGCAUGGUGGGGGUUGGUAAGUUUCGGCGGUUGGGGAUGGACUCGCGGCUUAUCAGCUUGUUGGUGGGGUAGUGGCUUACCAAGGCUUUGACGGGUAGCCGGCCUGAGAGGGUGACCGGCCACAUUGGGACUGAGAUACGGCCCAGACUCCCACGGGAGGCAGCAGUGGGGAAUAUUGCACAAUGGGCGGAAGCCUGAUGCAGCAACGCCGCGUGCGGGAUGACGGCCUUCGGGUUGUAAACCGCUUUCGCCUGUGACGAAGCGUGAGUGACGGUAAUGGGUAAAGAAGCACCGGCUAACUACGUG
rnacentral:rRNA from 1 species